rnacentral:rRNA from 1 species
ACAUACUCUAGAGCCCAUUUCAUCUUAUUUUAAUAAAUAAAAUUACUGCCAAAUCCUAAACUAUUCUAAUUUACAAUUCAAAUAAUAUCAAUGUAACCCAUCUCUGCUUUUAAAAGCUGCACCUUGAUUUGAUCUCAUAUAAAAUUUUAUAUAAAGAAAAUUUUUCUUAUCAAUAAAUUUUCCUUCAACAACGAUAUACAAACAAUAAUAAAAGUAUAAUAAAUUGUGAAUUAUCAAUCAUAGGACAGGUUCCUCUGGUAGGUUAAAGUACCGCCAAGACAUUUAAUUUUCAAGAACUUAACUAAUACUAAUCCGGUCUUUUAAAUAACAAUUCUAAUAACAGGGUAUCUAAUCCUGGUUUAAUAAGCAAAUUCUCACAGACCAUUUUAUUAAAAAAUUUAACUUUUAUAUAAAAAUUUCACCUCCCCAUAUAAAUUCUUUCAUUUAAAUAAAAAAUUAACUGAUAACCAUAAAAAUUAAGUCACCUUUUUUGUAUAACCGCA